GUCUCUGGCAACCAGAGUGAUGUAAAAUCUUCAACGGUCGAAGAUGAUCACAACAAUACCACAUCAUCCCAACAUGUAAUCGCACGAGUUCAACAUCUUCUUGAGCAACCUUGAACUUUGCAUUGUUGAUUAAAACUUGCACUAUUUUUGAUACCAAGUUAAAAUUACAUAUUGUGCAACUUUUGGUUGGUCAGGCACAAAAUGAUGGAAUAUCAAAGCAGAAAUCAGACAUAUCUGAAAAUUCAAGUGAAGCUACUACAGCAACAUCAACUAUAUCAUCAAAAGAUACAACAUUUACAGCUGUGACAACAUCAGUAACAACUGUGACAACAUCAGUAACAGCUGUGGCAACAACCACAACAUCAACAGCUGCUUCUACUGUAACAACAACACCCCUACAACAUCAGUUUUCUAUGCCACAAAGUCCUAAAUCUGACUACAAGUCUGAUGAUUCUGAGUCUGAAAAGAAGUAUGAUGCUGCAACAAAAGAAGAACUUUUAUAGCUUGCAAAAACAAGAAAAA